UCGGAAUUACUGGGCGUAAAGACGCAUGCAGGUGGUUUGUUUAAGUUCAGAUGUGAAAGACCCGGGGCGUCAACCUCCGGAAUAGCAUUUGUAAACUAGGCAGACUAGAGUACUGUAGAGGGGGGUAGGAAUUUCUAGGUGUAGCGGUGAAAUAGCGUAGAGAUCUGAAGGAAUACCGGUGGCGAAGGCGGCCCCCUCGGACAGAUACUGACACUCAGAUGCGAAAGCGUGGGGAGCAAACAGGAUUAGAUACCCCUGGUAG
rnacentral:rRNA from 1 species